UGCGACUUUGUGUCUCCUGUAUUAAUUUUUAAUUUUAUUGGGCAUGUCCAAACAUCAAAAACCCUCCCAAAUACACAAAUCUUUUUUUAUAAAUUGUGUAAUCUUUAUUUGACAACCAAACUGCCUUUGAGAAUUCGGGUAUUCAAAGAACAAAUGGUCAUGGGAAUCCCAAGAAAUUAUACAAACUUUGUUUUUAAGAAAAUAUAGACUUGAAAGAGACACACAACAAACAUUUAGGUUAUAACUCAAACACAGAUUUGAUAAGGAAAAAAAAGUGUAUAUUACUUAAUUUAAUGAAGAGUGAUAUUUGUUUUACACCCCUAGCCACACAUCUUAUUAAGUUUAGCUAACUUAGUGCAUGUGACUAAGGAAUUUAAACUUAAUUAACUGAAUCUGUCACUUUCCCAUAACCAGAUAUACUACUACUUUGACAACAAAAACAUUCCGUGGCAAAACUAUUUGCUCUACACAAAGCCCGCUGGAACGCAGCAGCUCUCUUUUUAAAGCCCAAUGAUCGUAAGAUUCCACAAAACUUCAAAUUCUCAACUUCGUAGACUUCUUUUAUACCAUAAGAAUUCAACAACCCCUUGUUGUCUGUAGUGAU